ensembl:misc_RNA
UUGACAGCUCUAGAACCUGAAGUUCUACAUACACAGAAGUCAUGAUACAUAGGCGGUGGUAGUGCAAGCUUCCCUCACAUAGCCCCACCAAUGCACCUCAAACCUGACCUAGAGGAGCUCCCCGCAACAAUUCAACAGAGGAGUUGGUCUUAACAGCCCAUUCAAUUCUAAUAUAUA